CCUACGGGAGGCUGCAGUGAGGAAUAUUGGUCAAUGGGCGGAAGCCUGAACCAGCCAAGUAGCGUGCAGGAUGACGGCCCUACGGGUUGUCAACUGCUUUUAUACGGGAAUCACGCGCCUUACGUGUAGGGCUUUGCAUGUACCGUAUGAAUAAGGACCGUCUAAUUCCGUGCCAGCAGCCGCGGUAAUACGGCAGGUCCGGGCGUUAUACGGAUUUAUUGGGUUUAAAGGGAGCGUAGGCCGCAUGUCAAGCGUGCUGUGAAAUGUCCGGGAUCAACCCGUGCCUUGCAGCGCGAACUGGCGUGCGUGAGUCCGCGGAAAGCAGGCGGAAUUCGUCGUGUAGCGGUGAAAUGCUUAGAUAUGACGAAGAACCCCGAUUGCGAAGGCAGCUUGCUGCAGCGGAACUGACGCUGAUGCUCGAAAGCGCGGGUAUCGAACAGGAUUAGAUACCCGAGUAGUC
rnacentral:rRNA from 1 species